AGUGGCGCACGGGUGCGUAACACGUGAGCAAUCUGCCGGGAAGUGGGGGAUAGCUCGCCGAAAGGCGAAUUAAUACCGCAUGUGGCCAUCCUUCGAGUGGAGGAAAAGCCAAAGCAGCAAUGCGCUUCCUGAUGAGCUCGCGGCCCAUCAGCUCGAUGGCGGGGUAACGGCCCACCAUGGCUUUGACGGGUAGCUGGUCUGAGAGGACGACCAGCCACACUGGAACUGAGAUACGGUCCAGACACCUACGGGUGGCAGCAGUCGAGAAUUUUUCACAAUGGGGGCAACCCUGAUGGAGCGACGCCGCGUGGAGGAUGAAGGCCUUCGGGUUGUAAACUCCUGUCAUGCGGGAACAAGCAAGUGAUAGUACCGCAAGAGGAAGAGACGGCUAACUCUGUGCCAGCAGCCGCGGUAAUACAGAGGUCUCAAGCGUUGUUCGGAUUCAUUGGGCGUAAAGGGUGCGUAGGUGGUGGCGCAAGUCUGGUGUGAAAUCUCGGAGCUCAACUCCGAAAUUGCACCGGAUACUGCGUGACUCGAGGACUGUAGAGGAGAUCGGAAUUCACGGUGUAGCAGUGAAAUGCGUAGAUAUCGUGAGGAAGACCAGUUGCGAAGGCGGAUCUCUGGGCAGCUCCUGACACUGAGGCACGAAGGCCAGGGGAGCAAACGGGAUUAGAUACCCCGGUAGUCCUGGCAGUAAACGGUGCACGUUUGGUGUGGGCGGGUUCAGACCCCGUCCGUGCCGGAGCUAACGCGUAA
rnacentral:rRNA from 1 species